GGAGGGUGCAAGCGUUGUCCGGAUUUAUUGGGUUUAAAGGGUGCGCAGGCGGCGCGCUAAGUCAGUGGUGAAAUCCCGCAGCUCAACUGUGGAACUGCCAUUGAUACUGGCGUGCUUGAGUACGGACGAGGUAGGCGGAAUUUAUGGUGUAGCGGUGAAAUGCAUAGAUACCAUAAAGAACACCGAUAGCGAAGGCAGCUUACUAGACCGUAACUGACGCUCAUGCACGAAAGCGUGGGGAUCGAACAGGAUUAGAUACCCUGGUAGUCCACGCUGUAAACGAUGAUCACUCGAUGUGUGCGAUAUACUGUACGCGUCCAAGCGAAAGCGUUAAGUGAUCCACCUGGGGAGUACGUUCGCAAGAAUGAA
rnacentral:rRNA from 1 species